GAUAUUUUAGCUACAAUGACUGCUCAGGUGCAUUGGUCUAUGUCGGAAAAAACCUUCGUGGUUCAACUGAUAAAUGAUCGGUACGACGAGUUAUAUUGUCGAUUUAAAGGUGCCACACUAGGUGGCAAAAAAAAGGAACAAACCUGGCAAGAGGUUGCUGAUACCUUCAAUAGCUCCAGUGUCGCACAAUGUUCUAGGACAGUGCGUCAAAUAAAAGACAUGUAUGCGCAGUUGAAAUGUCGAG